GGGAAGAAGGGAAAGGGAAACUCCCCUGAUCAUGGUGGCAAUUGCCAAUUUUGCACUUUCAGGGAGUUCUCUUCCACCACCAGAGUCAGCAAAGAAGUCUUGAGGAGGAACUGCUUCAGUCUCCAAAUUUGAUCAAGCAGGGAGAUGUCCUCCACAGCUGGAUCUAAGAAGAAUUGACUGUUGAUGAGCAGGUUCAGCUGGUGCAUAUUAAUCUUCAAGCUUUUGUGUAUACUAGCACCCUUGUCUUCCACCAUGGGUGUGUGAUGAUCAAAUGCAUGUGUACCUCCUGCAACAUAGUUAGUACAUUGUGGCUCCACAGAAAUAACAUGCAAGGGUAUAACACCCACUCUCAGUGUAAGAGGCCGAACCUCAGAUAAACUCUCGGAACAUGAAUUACUUUCAAAUUCAGAAGCAAUAUCAACAAUAGAAUUAGAUUCAUGUUCAGUGCAUGGAGAAUANACAUUCAGACAAGAUGACAAAAGUUGUUUCUCAUCAUGCAGAGAGUGAAAAUCAAAAGCAUGCUCAUCACUAUCAUCAACAUCAACAUACCUAUCAACAACAUAAUCAUCAACAACAGAAUCAAUAAUAGGUAUGUCUACCUCCACUUCCCUGAAAAUUGGUUUAG
rnacentral:lncRNA from 1 species